CGGGGUGUGGCGCAAUGGCUAGCGCGCUGGCAUGGGGUGCCAGAGGUUGCGGGUUCGAGUCCCGCCACCCCGA
rnacentral:tRNA from 2 species